CAGAAAAUAGUUUAUUUAAAAUAUUAAUUUUGGAGAUUAAAGAUAGAUUUAUUUCUUUUUCUGA
rnacentral:tRNA from 1 species